AAAAUUUAUGACACUGAUGGAUUUCCAUAGAGUUACGAUUGAUCGGAUCAAUCGUAACUCUUUGUAAGAUGGGACCCUGAUUCGGGGUUAUGAAUUCAAAGGUUAAAGGUCACAGGUCAUUGCAUAUCUGGAAUGAUCAAUUUCUCGAAAUAACUCAAGAGUAGUUUGAAGGAUCAACUUCAAACCAAGUAUGUGUUAGUGUAGAUGAUCUUUUUAUAGAUUUUAGAGUCACAAGGAUUUACGCCAGUGGUAGAAAUUAUGUAUUUGCGAUGAUGAAAUAAGUGUUCGAGGGAUCAAAGUCAAACUUUUUUUCAUAUGCAUAUGGGAGUGAAAUUGAUCUGAUGGGGUCACAAGGUCAAAUGUCGAAGAGGUCUUUAUAUUCGUACUUUUACAAUGGUGCUUUUACGAUGGUGAAGCAACUGAUCGAGGGAUUAAGUAAAAACAUUGUCGUGUUUGGAUUUGGGAGUGAAAAUGAUCUGAUUAUGUCACAAGCUCAAGGGUCACCAACAGGUCAUUUGACAAGUUGAGAAGUGAUGUAUUUGAGGGUGUAACGACAUUUGCUCUGCCGACAAACGCUCCAGGCUUUAUUUCGGCUGGGAUACUUGGUUAGGGUUAGGAUUGUAAUAUGGUUGUAUGUUAGGUUUAGGAUAGGGUAUAGUGUUAUAUCCAGGGUUGAUGUUGGUCAUUCUUUUAGAGUAUGGAAUUUACAGCGGAGCAAUUGUCUCUGGAGCAAUUGUCGCCGGAGCAAAUGUCAUGGAACCGUUUGUGAAACAUGUAUACAUCUUGCUGGGGUAGGGGUAUAUUUCCCAACUAAGUGAAGUCUGAAAUCCAUCUUGUUUUAUAUUAUUUUUUAAUGAGUUUAUUUAAUGUACUUGUAUGGUAUUAUAAGUGAAUAAGUAUUUAGCUGGUAUAAAAAUCUUCAUUCCAAUUUGUGUGUGAGGGAAUUAUUGAAAUGUUUUGCACUGCAUGACAGUAUAAGGGCAUAUGUUGUAAACUAUAGACAUCUCUGUAUGGUAUAUUGUGAACUAAGGGCUGGUUUGAAAAUCUUCAUUCUAAUUUGUGUUUAAGAGUAUUAUUGAAAUGUUUUGCGCUGUAUAACAGUACAAGGGCAUAUGUUGCAAACCAUAAACAUCUCUGUAUAGUAUAGUUGAAUUGUUAAAAGGCUGGUAUCAAAUCUUCACUCUAAUUUGUGUGUAAACGAAUUGUUGAAAUGUUUGGCACUGCAUGACAGUAUAAGGGCAUAUGUUGUAAACUAUAGACAUCUCUUUAUAGUAUUAUAGUAUAGUUGAUUUGUUAAAAGGCUGGUAUGAAAAUCUUCAUUUCAAUUUGUGAGUGAAGAUAUUGUUGAAAUAUUUUGCACCCUAUGACGGUAUAAGGGCAUAUGUUGUAAACUAUAGACAUCUUUGUAUAGUAUAGUUGAAUUGUUAAAAGGCUGGUAUCAAAUCUUCACUCUAAUUUGUGUGUAAACAAAUUAUCGAAAUGUUUGGCACUGCAUGACAGUAUAAGGGCAUAUGUUGUGAACUAUAGACAUCUCUAUAUGGUAUAGUUUGUUUGUUAAAAGGCUGGUAUCAAAAUCUUCAUUUCAAUUUGUGUGUGAAGGAAUUUUUGAAAUGUUUUGCACUGUGUAACAGUAUGAAGGCAUAUGUUGUGGUCUAUACAUCUUUAUUGAUAUCAUCUAUUUUGCAUACUACUGAGUUAGUUUAAUACAGAUUAUUUUAAAAUUUGUA
rnacentral:lncRNA from 1 species